rnacentral:rRNA from 1 species
GACGAACGCUGGCGGCGUGCUUAACACAUGCAAGUCGAACGGAAAGGCCCUUCGGGGUACUCGAGUGGCGAACGGGUGAGUAACACGUGGGUGAUCUGCCCUGCACUUUGGGAUAAGCCUGGGAAACUGGGUCUAAUACCGAAUAUGAUCAUCGGCUUCAUGGUCGGUGGUGGAAAGCUUUUGCGGUGUGGGAUGGGCCCGCGGCCUAUCAGCUUGUUGGUGGGGUAAUGGCCUACCAAGGCGACGACGGGUAGCCGGCCUGAGAGGGUGACCGGCCACACUGGGACUGAGGUACGGCCCAGACUCCUACGGGAGGCAGCAGUGGGGAAUAUUGCACAAUGGGCGCAAGCCUGAUGCAGCGACGCCGCGUGAGGGAUGACGGCCUUCGGGUUGUAAACCUCUUUCAGCACAGACGAAGCGCAAGUGACGGUAUGUGCAGAAGAAGGACCGGCCAACUACGUG